rnacentral:miRNA from 6 species
UAAUACUGUCUGGUAAUGAUGUU